AUUGAACGCUGGCGGCAGGCCUAACACAUGCAAGUCGAGCGGAUGAAGGGAGCUUGCUCCUGGAUUCAGCGGCGGACGGGUGAGUAAUGCCUAGGAAUCUGCCUGGUAGUGGGGGAUAACGUCCGGAAACGGGCGCUAAUACCGCAUACGUCCUGAGGGAGAAAGUGGGGGAUCUUCGGACCUCACGCUAUCAGAUGAGCCUAGGUCGGAUUAGCUAGUUGGAGGGGUAAAGGCCUACCAAGGCGACGAUCCGUAACUGGUCUGAGAGGAUGAUCAGUCACACUGGAACUGAGACACGGUCCAGACUCCUACGGGAGGCAGCAGUGGGGAAUAUUGGACAAUGGGCGAAAGCCUGAUCCAGCCAUGCCGCGUGUGUGAAGAAGGUCUUCGGAUUGUAAAGCACUUUAAGUUGGGAGGAAGGGCAGUAAGUUAAUACCUUGCUGUUUUGACGUUACCAACAGAAUAAGCACCGGCUAACUUCGUG
rnacentral:rRNA from 1 species